rnacentral:lncRNA from 1 species
AAAGUUUAAAUUUUAAAUUUGAUAUUUUUAAUUUUUAAUUUUAAAUUUGAUAUUUUUAGUUUUAAAAUUUUAAAUUUGUUAUUUUAUAUCUUUGAAAUUUAAAUUUAGUUUUAAAAUUGAAAUUUGAUAUUUAAAAUUAAAAUUUUAAAAAUUAAAAUUUUAAAUUUUAAUUUUAAAUUUUAAAAUUUAAAUGUUAAAAUUUUCAACUUUCAUUAUACUCACAUUAUUUUCUAUUUAUAACUACCAACUAUUUCACCUUAUACUCACAUUUUUCAUCCAAACAUAAUUUUUCUAGUUCCAACUUUACUCAUAUUUUCAUCCAAAUAAAAAAAUACUCUUGUUCCUACGAAAAUUCAUACUUGUACCUAUCCCCGAUAUAACUAGUUCUUACUUAUACUCUAACCAAACGAAGCCGAACUCUAUGGAUAUCUACAAUCUGAGACGAACAUUUUAACCUGAACUUCUCCAAAAU